rnacentral:rRNA from 1 species
UGUGCGCGAGUCACUGGGAUCAUGUCUAAACCCAGAGGCGCAGUGAAAGCGUGGGGCUCGCACGGCAUAAAGCCGCCGCGAGCCGCUAAGGGAGGACGGCCGGUCGUUCCCGAACGGUGCGGCCGGCCAGCACUCCCGGGGCGCCUCGGCUCCGGCCGCAGGCGCACCCGGAGCGCACACGUUGGGACCCGAAAGAUGGUGAACUAUGCCCGGCCAGGACGAAGUCAGGGGAAACCCUGAUGGAGGUCCGCAGCGAUUCUGACGUGCAAAUCGAUCGUCAGAGCUAGGUAUAGGGGCGAAAGACUAAUCGAACCAUCUAGUAGCU